UGAGUUAUUUUGGCAACAAGGUAAACAAUAUGAUUAAUAAUUCUCUAAUCAGAAUCAUAAAAUGAUUUAUCGUUGCAUAAAGAUAUAAAUUAAAUGACUGUACAUAUAUACGUAUAAUGUAUAUAUUCCCUUCGAACUGCCUUUUUAAAACAGUUGCACAACAACUUCUAAUACAAAAAUAGCAUGUCUAAUAUAAUAAAAGAUAUU